AUUGAACGCUGGCGGCAGGCCUAACACAUGCAAGUCGAACGAGUGGCGGACGGGUGAGUAAUGUCUGGGAAACUGCCUGAUGGAGGGGGAUAACUACUGGAAACGGUAGCUAAUACCGCAUACCAUCGGAUGUGCCCAGAUGGGAUUAGCUUGUUGGUGGGGUAACGGCUCACCAAGGCGACGAUCCCUAGCUGGUCUGAGAGGAUGACCGGCCACACGGGACCUGAGAAACGGUCCAGACCCCAACGGGAGGCAGCAGUGGGGAAGAGUGCACAAUGGGCGCAAGGCGAAUGCAGCAAUGCCGCGUGUAGGAAGAAGGCCUUCGGGUUGUAAAGUACUUUCAUCGGUGAGUCGGUACCCGGAGAAGAAGCACCGGCUAACUCCGUGCCAGCAGCCGCGGUAAUUC
rnacentral:rRNA from 1 species